GGUGGCUCAGUGGUAGAGCACUUGCCUUGCAUGCAUGAGGCCUUGGCUUCGAUUCCUCAGCACCA
rnacentral:tRNA from 1 species